UGGCGGACGGGUGAGGAAUACAUCGGAAUCUACUCUUUCGUGGGUGAUAACGUAGGGAAACUUACGCUAAUACCGCAUACGACCUACGGGUGAAAGCGGAGGACCUUCGGGCUUCGCGCGAUUGAAUGAGCCGAUGUCGGAUUAGCUAGUUGGCUGGGUAAAGGCCCACCAAGGCGACGAUCCGUAGCUGGUCUGAGAGGAUGAUCAGCCACACUUGAACUGAGACACGGUCCAG
rnacentral:rRNA from 1 species